CCCCCUUUUCCUUCCCAUUUUCAAAAUCCCCAAUUUAGAUAGGAACCCUAGCUCUCUCCCUCCUACCUCGGCGACUCCCGCCGCUGCCCGGCCGCCACGCACCGCCGUCUCCGGCGCCAUCUUCCUCCCUAUCUUUCUUCGUCUCUCCCUCUUUCACUUCUCCCUUUCUUUUCUAAUUUGGACAAUUAGUAAAUCCCCAAAUUAAGGAAAUCAAACCCUAGGUAGGCGGCUUUCCCGCAUUCGAGCGUCAUCGCCCCCUUCUUCUCCGGCGAAACCGCCGUCCCCCUUCUUCAUCAGAAUUCGACCUCCUCCCCUGGAUCGCGAGAAUCGAGAGGCAGCGCCUCCAAGUCCCUUUUCGGUACGCCGCUUGCCCCGCCGUCGCGCCUUCGCCGUCGUCGUCUCCCAGCACCGCACGGCGGAGGUCCCGACGCGGUGAAGCAGCCGCCGCCGUCCCGUCAUCUGCCGCAACUCCCGGGUCCCGUCGGAGUUCGCUCGUCGUCGGAUUUCGUCUCGGUGGCCGGCCUUAAGCUAAGUCUUCGAACCCUUAUUAUCUAGCUCAUCUGAUUAGGUGAAUUUUGGUGUUGGAGGGCUUAUAUGUGACUGAUGCUGGGUUUUUUGUGAUUUUCAUUAAGUGAGGAUUGAGUAGAGGCUAUGUGAAAGUCGUUAAACAGUUAUCUGGAGAUUUUUCUGUAUUUGCUGAGAUUCUAUUUGGUUGUUCAUUGUGGUGGGUUUAAGCCUUCCAAACUCUACUUGUUAUUGCCAUUACAUAUCUUGGCAUUACCCUUGUUUUCUUUCUGCAGCAGAUCCUCUUUUCUGGAUUAUUGCAGCCACUUUAACUGCAUUCCUUGGUGGUGAUUUUUGCAGGUGCACAACAAGGGUGUAGGGCUGUUAACUGUGCUUUGCAGGGCUGCUGCAGCUGAAAAGGCUGAUCUUGCCUCUUGGCAGCCUUCGGUUAGGGCUGGGGAGAGUGCAGGAGCUUGCUGCUACUUAUCCUUCCUAUUUUGGCAAUCCCUCGGUCUUCAUCAAGAACGUGUUUGAGAAAUUACUGCCAUUGCUGUUGCACCGCCGUUUGCUGGUGAUCUGGGCCCGCUGGUUCUCGAUCGUCGGAAGGGGAUGACUUGAACUUGUGAAGAAUAGAUUCGAGGCAUUUGCAUUAGGCAUUCAUGUAUUACUUGUGUUUUUUUUGUAAGUUAAGUCAUAGCUUGAAAUGUAACUAUUGUAACUCAUUCGACUAAGGAAAUAAACGAGCACAUGUUCAUUCUUCAA